UACGUAGGGUGCAAGCGUUAAUCGGAAUUACUGGGCGUAAGGCGUGCGCAGGCGGUUUUGUAAGUCUGUCGUGAAAUCCCCGGGCUUAACCUGGGAAUGGCGAUGGAGACUGCAAGGCUAGAGUUUGGCAGAGGGGGGUAGAAUUCCACGUGUAGCAGUGAAAUGCGUAGAGAUGUGGAGGAACACCGAUGGCGAAGGCAGCCCCCUGGGUCAAAACUGACGCUCAUGCACGAAAGCGUGGGGAGCAAACAGG
rnacentral:rRNA from 1 species